CAUAACCAAACAACGUUGCGUGAAGAAACAACAGUUUUAAAACGUAAUGUUCGCCCAUGUACACACCUAUGACCUGUCUUUCUCUGUUCAAAAGAUAUCUACAAUGGAAACAAAAAGCCACGUUCUUGUCAAACCCUAAAUUCUGAUAUGAUAUGAAACCAAGUUUCCAAAUUGAAUUCAUGCGUACUCAAAUGGGAAACCAAUAAAUAAGGAAGAAAAUCAGAAGGACAGCGCCAUGACCACCAAGGCAAGAAGAAGAACCAUCUCUCUAUAUAUAAACCUUGUUUCUUUGCCUUAGAAAAUAAACUCAAAAUUCCACUUUGAUUUGAAAAUGGGAUCCUCAAGCACUUAUUGUGUUGUUCUCAACUUGUCAUUCCUUGUGUUCAUCUUUUUUCUGGGUUCUUCGUUUGCUUCUUUUUCAUCGUCGUCGUCAUCCUUGCACCCUUUAGUUUUCAACUCCAAAGUUCAACACCUUAACUACACAGCAAUAUCUGAGUUUAGGGUUGUGAAUAGAAGAUUUCUGGCUGAGUGUCCUCAUCCGAGCCCUUAUCUGCAAAUUAGUAUUAACUCAACUUCUUCUGGCCUCGGAGAUGAAGAGUUCUUGAGUGUCAAUGUUAGUGGUGUCCUCAAUCCUUCCAAAGACGACUGGGUCGCCAUGAUUUCACCUUCUCAUUCUGAGUAUGAAUUCUAUAUAUAUAAUUGUACACGUUAAUUAUCUACGAAUUUAUUCAUGCUUUUUUUUUUUUUUUUUUCUUCAUAUUAUUUCAAUUUGUUAUAUAUUUUUGGCUAUCACAUGAUAUGCAGUGUCUCAAGCUGUCCUUUAAAUGGGAUUCUCUAUGCACAGACUGGCGAUCUCAGCAAACUUCCUCUUCUCUGCCAUUAUCCUGUUAAGGUAAACAAAAUUAUCGUUUUCAUAUUACUCAUGUCCUUUUUUUUCUUUUUCUUUUUAAAGAAAGAAAUAAAUAUAUAUCCUUUUUUUCUCUUUGCAUGUGGUCCUUUUUUUACAUAAAGAAAAAAAAAAAACAGAAAAGUUAGAUAUAUGGUAAUGAAUUAAUGUGAACAUCAUCGAUGCCGAAUAAUGUGAAAUUGGCACCCGACUGAUACACACCACUCACUCUCCUCCUUGUAUGGCGAUAUUGGAUUCGUUUUAGAAGUUCAUCGUCAACUUCUCUGUCCAACUUUUCUUUUUUUCAAUUAUUUUUGGCAUGCGAAACCCGUAUUAGCGAAAACCCGGCAUAAAAAAAAGUUCUAAAUUCUGCAAAUGGAAGAGUUAUACCAGUGAUCAUAUUCCUAUUCCUAUAACAGUAUUGAUAUAUGUUAGGUUUCAAGAGUGUAGUGUAGUCCUAAUUAAUAGUUAGGUCCCAAAAGAAUUGCCCUUCGGUGGUAACAGAAGUUUUUAAAUUGUAAUGAAUAAAAGCUAAAGAGAAAAAAAUAUAUAUAUCAAAAAUAAAAAAAUUUAAGGGCCACAUAGUUGGAAAAAGUGGCUGGGCAUGGGGCAGCCCAUGUUGUCUUUAAUGUACGACGUUACUAACAAUGUGGCGUUAAGAAAACCAUAAACAUUUACGUACAAAGCCAACGAAGCACUUGCUUUGACGUUUGACAAACCAUAAUCCUAUGGGCCUAACAGUUUAUUCCGUUUGAUUUUAAUAUCCACAUCAAUUUCCCGUAUAUUUUGUUGAGCGGAUAAUGAUGAACCAAACAUGUGGAUGAGCAUGAGUUAGUUGGAUAAGUUCUGUGUUCAUUUUCAAUAUAACUGUUUGGAUUGUGUUUUCCUCAUUAUAUUUGUUUGUUAGAUGGUGGUGAUUUUCUCAGCAACUUGAUAAACAAAACAUUGUGCAUGUAGGGUGUUCGAUGCAUACUAAACUCUAAACCUUAAACCCCAACUACUUGGCUUUAACAAAAAUAUAUACGUAAGUUUAGAUUUCACCAUAGUUAUAGAUAUUGUUAUCUUUUUAGUAUAAUUGUCUCUUUAAUUUGGAAGUGAUUUUGGGAGAGCCAAAAGCAGGUAUGAGGAGAAGUACCUCUCAUGCUUCUUAAUAUGUGUUUUAAAACUAUUCUAAGGAUAAGCACGUGCUAUGUCCACAGUGGCAGAGCCAAUAAGGGAACAGUGUGGUCCCAGGCCCCCACUCCAUUUUUUCUAAUUUUAUUUAUAUACUAUACAUUAGAUUAGUUUUAGGAUAUUUAUUCUAAAAUAAACAAUAUAUUAGGUUCUCAUUGUCUAUAAAUUAACCAUAAAACUUCUUGAUCUCUUAUCUACUUAUCUCGCUAAAUUUUUUUAAGUUAAUUUAUGAUAUUUUCACUAAAAACUCCUAAAUUUACAACAUUUCUUUCUUUUUUUCUUUUAUUUAACUUAAGCUUUAUAAAUUUUUUUUAUUUCCGUCCUUUUUCAUGUAUGAGUUCAUUGAGUUGGGUAACUUAGUGUUGGGAUUUAUGAACUUUUUUUUUAUUCUUCUCUAUGUUGGAAUAUAAAUUAUUAUAAGUUCAGUCUUUAAUAGUGUAGACAAAUUAUUAAAAUAUGAAAUUCAUGUUUCUAAAAGUAAAUAAAUAAUUCAUUAGAAUUAUGAUCGUAACGAAUGUAUAUAAUAUUAUUAAUUUAUAUCAAAUGAUAGUAUGAAGUAGGCCAAAAUGAGUGGUUAGUGUCAAAUUAACUUCUUAAGUGGUUAGCAUUUUAACAAUCCUAUUCAAAUUAUUUUUAAAAAUUUUGUGAAGGGUCCCCUCUAAUGUGAAAUCCUGGCUCCGCCACUAUCUUCUUUAUAAAAUCACUUACAACCACUUUGAAAUGAUUCUCAAACAAGCCCUAAAUAACCUGAUUAGAGAGUAGGUGAACAAUCAAUAUAAUUAAAACAAGAAUAUCAACUAACUCUUAAUUUAGUGAUUUUUUUCUUAAAGGUCGGAAGAACUUCCGAGUCCCUCUAUCUCACAUUGAUAAGAAUAACAACAAAAUAGACUGACCUGUAAUAUAUAAUAUGUAGUACGUUGACAUUUUUUGAAAUUGCUGCAGGCAGCAUACAUAAGCAAUGAUCCUGACUAUCUGAGUUGCAAGAAGAAGGAAUGCAAAAAGUAUCGGAAUGGUCGAUGCUUGGUGUCCACUUGUGGUGGUGCAUUAUCAUUUCAUGUUGUUAACAUCAGAACGGACCUUGAAUUUGUGUUGUUUUCUGGUGGAUUCGAGGCCCCUUGCAUUUUGAAAAGGUCAAGCCCUGUGAGAUUUGCCACUCCAAAUAAGCCAUUAUAUGGACAUCUAUCGAGCAUAGAUUCGACGGGAACAUCGGUAACACUCUAUAUUAUUUUCACUAUUAAUUUUGACAUAGCAAUAACUUACGUAUAUUCAUAGUCUCGCAACACAAUAUGAAAAAUUGAAAAAUAAAAUUUUCUCUUUUAUGUGAUUCUCGUCUUGAACUAAUUUAAUUAGUUUAGUGUGAAGUCACUUAUGAAGGCUGCAAAGUGGUUUUGAGCUUUAAGAACAGCUUAAUUUAAUUAAUAAAUUGAAGCAAGUUGAUUAAAAUGUCUGUUUUCGUAUAUUUUUCCCAUAAAAAAAAGAUCGCCGAGAUGGUUCUAUCAACUUGUGAGAUCAUAGUUCUAACACAAUGAAACAUGAAUUAUGGGUGCAGAUACGAUUAACGUGGGUCAGUGGUGAUCAGAAACCUCAGCAAGUACAAUAUGGUGACGGAAAAAAACAGACGUCACAAGUUACUACAUUUUCACAAGAUGACAUGCAAAGUCAGUUCCUCAACAUCCUAUAUCCAUAUAUACGUUUCUCGUUAAUAUGUAUCUCGAUAUCUCUAUAAAAGAUGUGAUCAACAAUGUGAUCAUGCAAAAUACAAAUUCUAAAAGUUACACUAGCUUAUUACCCUAUGAUAUGGUUUUCAAGUUGAAGGUCUCCUUGAUCUCUAGUUUUUUUUUUUUUUUUUGGUACCUCUUUUGUAAAUUGUAGGUUCAGUUCUACCAAGCCCAGCCAAGGACUUCGGAUGGCAUGACCCAGGCUUCAUUCAUACAGCAGUAAUGACAGGACUUAAGCCUUUAUCUAAUUUCUCUUAUAGAUAUGGAAGGUAUGUAUAAACCCCCUAUCUAAUUUCCACCACAAAACAAAUAUUUGAAAAAAGAAAAAGGAACAGAAAACACCAUUCCAAAAUUUCAAUGAGAUGUGGUGCAAGAUGGAAGUGCAAAAAGUGUAUUUUUUGCAUUAGUUAUAAAGAGCCUUUUCAUCUUUCUUACCAAUUCUUCAACACAAAGUGACCUUAUGUAUGUGGGAAUGGAAAAUAAAUUGCAGUGAUUCAGUUGGUUGGAGCAAUGAAAUCCAAUUCCGGACUCCCCCAGCAGGAGGAUCUGAUAAACUCAAAUUUCUCGCAUUCGGUGACAUGGGAAAGGCUCCUCGUGAUGGUUCGACAGAGCAUUACAUUCAGGUAUAUAUGAUACAUUUAGUACUGCAAUGCAACAACUAUAUGCUCAUCAUUCAUGCACACCUAAAUAAUACUUGUGUGGUAUGAAUAGCCAGGAUCCCUCUCAGUAAUUCAAGCCAUGGCUGAAGAAAUAAAUUCAGGGCAUGUAGACUCUAUCUUCCACAUUGGAGACAUUAGCUACGCCACUGGAUUUUUAGUUGAAUGGGAUUUUUUCCUGCACCAAAUAAGUCCCGUAGCUUCUCGAGUUUCUUACAUGACAGCUAUUGGAAACCAUGAGAGGUAUGCUCUUUACUACCAUAGUGGCAAUGCAUAUUGAAGAAGGGUAAUGUUCUCUUACUAGACAUCUCACAUGUUAUGUUGUAAAGCUUAAUCUAGGCCAAUUACAUUUGAAUAAAGAAUCAACUCUAUAAAUGAACCAGCAGGCGGCUAACCACAUAACACACUAAACUUUCAGAAGAUUUUCCUUAAGACAUAUGUUGACACCAAGUUGACCUCACCUAAACCCCACAAUGAAAUCCCACCAAUUAAGGAAGGCCCAUGCCCUCUCAUAUGCCUUCUCCAUACCUCCUCCAUGCCUAAAAUCCCAAAUCAAGGGGAGCCAUAUACCUAAAUCCCAAAAGUCAUGAUGACUUGCCUACUUGUAAGGCGUACAUAAGCAAGAGGCAACCAGCAAGCAGAGAAGGCCGGCUUUGCCUCUCCCACUCUAAGGCUCUCUUCUUUUACUAAGGCUUUAUGCCUCUCAACUGUACAAUGUAAAAGCUCUCUCGUAGUCAAAUACAUAUUCGAAGCUCCACAGUGGAUGUAACCUAAUUAUGGUGAACCAUUCAAAAUCGUGUACUUGUGUGUGAUUGUGUUUUCCAUCCCUCAUGAUGUUUAUCCAAAUCUAUGCAUGCAUCAACAAUAUGCUUGACCAUGCAUUUUUCAGGGACUAUAUAGACACUGGAUCAGUUUACAUAACCCCAGAUUCAGGUGGAGAAUCUGGUGUUCCUUAUGAGACCUACUUUCCGAUGCCAACCCCGGCAAAGGAUAAGCCAUGGUAUUCCAUAGAACAAGCAAGUGUUCACAUCACGGUGAUAUCUACAGAGCAUGACUGGUCCCAAAAGUCUGAGCAGGUAAGGAUAAUUAAGCACUUCUGUAGUGCCUUAUAUUUAUCCAAUCUAGCAUAUGGAAUUCUCAGCUUAUUUGAUGUUUUUCGCUUUGUUACUCUAUGCAAUGGAUGCACUUUACAGUAUCAAUGGAUGAGAAGGGACAUGGCUUCUGUUGAUCGAUCCAAAACUCCUUGGUUGAUUUUUAUGGGGUAAGUUGUAACUGAAAUACCUUCAAGUUUUUGUAGUGUUUGUAACCAUUAUUUCUGUGUGUUUGUGUGCUUCUGUUUCAUUCUACAUUGCAGUGAUUAAGAAGUGGACUGUGGUAAAUUAUACACAAUUUACAGUUUAAAUUAUGUUAAUCCGAUUAUUAUGUUCAAGAUUACAGUAAUUUCAAUGAGAUUCUAGCUAUUAAAUGAGCCCAUGAUUUCCACCCCAUCUUUUUAUGUUGUAUUAAAUGCUUGUGACUUCUUCAAAUGUUGCAGGCAUAGACCCAUGUAUACCUCCGCAGAUGGACUCUUCAGUGUUGAUCCAAAAUUUGUUUUUGAAGUGGAACCAUUACUGCUUCAAAGCAAAGUAAUUAACAUCCCUCGCUAGCUAGUUUGAUUAUUUUUCUGUUUUUUUUUUUCAUUGUUCAUCUUCUCUGUGUCUUUUACUUAUUUCGACGUGGAGAAAAUAGAAGAGUUUCUCUUCCAAAAAAAAUAAAUAAUAUCUCUUGGAUUCGUCAUGUGUCAAAUUGGUUCUUUCUUGUUUCUUUCUAACAUUGCUCUGGAAAAUUGAACUAGGUUGAUUUGGUCCUAUUUGGUCAUGUCCAUAACUACGAGCGAACCUGCUCACUUUAUAGGAGUCAAUGCAAGGGAUUGCCUGUUAAAGAUGAAAAUGGGAUCGACACAUACGAUCAUAGCAACUACAGUGCCCCAGUGCAUGCAGUAAUUGGUAUGGCUGGCUUUACCUUGGACAAGUUUCCAACUGGUGUAAGUAUCUCUCUCUACAACUAUAUACGUACACAUGUACUUAAGCGAAGCUCCUGAUAUGUUGCAUCCCUCUUUCUCAGACAAAAAUGAAACAGAAAAAAAAAUAGUUCUUUCAUUGUUCUUUACAUGGAAUUGGAUUUUGAUCGUUCAGGUAAAUAAUCCUUGGAGCUUAUCGAGGAUUUCCCAAUUUGGUUAUCUCAGAGGAUAUGCCACAAAGAAGGAGAUGAAAUUAGAGGUCAGUGUGACAGUAUGUGACCUUUGAGUUUCGUACUACAGAACAUAUAUAUGGAGAGAAUUUUUUCAUAUACAUAUUAUACUUAGUUCGUGUUCAUCAGAAACACUCGGCUUAGCUUGAACUUCGGCAGACCUUGAUGUUCUCUAAAUUUCUUUCAUUUUGCAGUUCGUGAACGCAGAUACAAGAAAAGUUGAGGACAGGUUCCGCAUUACAAAAGCAAGCUCAUCUAAUUAGAAACAUGUAAUUUAAAUAUAUAGAUGAGUUACUUCUAUCUGUAAGCAUUCAAGAGGUAAAUGGUAGUUUUAAGUUUUAACCUUGACAAUGUUAGUUGAUU
rnacentral:lncRNA from 1 species